AUACUUAACCUGGCAGGGGAGAUACCAUGAUCAUGAAGUUGGUUUUCCCAGAGCAAGGCUCACCCAUUUCACUCCAGGUAUGUUGACCCCUGCAAUUUCCCCAAAUGCAGGAAACUCAACUGCAUAAUUUGUGGUUUGGGGGGACUGUGUUCACACUAUCCCCUG